GUCGAGCGGCGGACGGGUGAGUAAUGCCUAGGAAAUUGCCCUGAUGUGGGGGAUAACCAUUGGAAACGAUGGCUAAUACCGCAUGAUGCCUACGGGCCAAAGAGGGGGACCUUCGGGCCUCUCGCGUCAGGAUAUGCCUAGGUGGGAUUAGCUAGUUGGUGAGGUAAGGGCUCACCAAGGCGACGAUCCCUAGCUGGUCUGAGAGGAUGAUCAGCCACACUGGAACUGAGACACGGUCCAGACUCCUACGGGAGGCAGCAGUGGGGAAUAUUGCACAAUGGGCGCAAGCCUGAUGCAGCCAUGCCGCGUGUGUGAAGAAGGCCUUCGGGUUGUAAAGCACUUUCAGUCGUGAGGAAGGUGGUGUAGUUAAUAGCUGCAUCAUUUGACGUUAGCGACAGAAGAAGCACCGGCUAACUCCGUGCCAGCAGCCGCGGUAAUACGGAGGGUGCGAGCGUUAAUCGGAAUUACUGGGCGUAAAGCGCAUGCAGGUGGUUUGUUAAGUCAGAUGUGAAAGCCCGGGGCUCAACCUCGGAAUAGCAUUUGAAACUGGCAGACUAGAGUACUGUAGAGGGGGGUAGAAUUUCAGGUGUAGCGGUGAAAUGCGUAGAGAUCUGAAAGGAAUACUCGGUGGCGAAAGGCGGCCCCCUGGACAGAUACUGACACUCAGAUGCGAAAGCGUGGGAGCAAACAGGAUUAGAUACCCUGGUAGUCCACGCCGUAAACGAUGUCUACUUGGAGGUUGUGGCCUUGAGCCGUGGCUUUCGGAGCCUAACGCGUUAAGUAGACCGCCUGGGGGAGUACGGGUCGCAAAGAUUAAAACUCAAAAUGAAUUGACGGGGGGCCCCGCACAAGCGGUGGAGCAUGUGGUUUAAUUCGAUGCAACGCGAAGAACCUUACCUACUCUUGACAUCCAGAGAACUUUCCAGAGAUGGAUUGGUGCCUUCGGGAACUCUGAGACAGGUGCUGCAUGGCUGUCGUCAGCUCGUGUUGUGAAAUGUUGGGUUAAGUCCCGCAACGAGCGCAACCCUUAUCCUUGUUUGCCAGCGAGUAAUGUCGGGAACUCCAGGGAGACUGCCGGUGAUAAACCGGAGGAAGGUGGGGACGACGUCAAGUCAUCAUGGCCCUUACGAGUAGGGCUACACACGUGCUACAAUGGCGCAUACAGAGGGCGGCCAACUUGCGAAAGUGAGCGAAUCCCAAAAAGUGCGUCGUAGUCCGGAUUGGAGUCUGCAACUCGACUCCAUGAAGUCGGAAUCGCUAGUAAUCGUGGAUCAGAAUGCCACGGUGAAUACGUUCCCGGGCCUUGUACACACCGCCCGUCACACCAUGGGAGUGGGCUGC
rnacentral:rRNA from 1 species